rnacentral:rRNA from 1 species
CGCAGUAUAGGUGGGAGGCGUUGAUUAUAAUCUUGUGGGAUUAUUGGAGCCAUCAGUGAGAUACCACUCUUGUAAUGUUAGAUUUCUAACUUUGAAUCAUUAUCUGGUCAAAGAACAGUUUCAGGCGGGCAGUUUGACUGGGGCGGUCGCCUCCCAAACGGUAACGGAGGCGUACAAAGGUUUCCUCUGAACGGGUAGAAAUCGUAUCUAGAGUGUAAAGGCAUAAGGAAGCUUGACUGUGAGACCUACAAGUCGAGCAGGGACGAAAGUCGGUCUUAGUGAUCUGACGGUACUGAGUGGAAAGGCCGUCACUCAACGGAUAAAAGUUACUCUAGGGAUAACA